CCCUCGUCCCGUAAACGUUGAGUAUUUGUUAACUUUUGUGUUUAGUUCAUAUUGUAGAUUUUUAUGUAAAUAUAUAGAAUGUGUGAGUGUGGCUAAUGUUAAAAAUAAACUUCUCUUUACUACAUAGCUGAUCAAAUUUCGCAACAUAUAUCACCGAUCAAUCUCCUUCGAGCCUCCCUCUUCAACGCGACACUGGCGAAACAAUCAGUGCCCAGUUGGCACACCUAAAAGCCACUGCUUGGAAAUUGAAUUGAAUUGA